GAUGAACGCUGGCGGCGUGCCUAAUACAUGCAAGUCGAGCGAACAGACGAGGAGCUUGCUCCUCUGACGUUAGCGGCGGACGGGUGAGUAACACGUGGAUAACCUACCUAUAUGACUGGGAUAACUUCGGGAAACCGGAGCUAAUACCGGAUAAUAUAUUGAACCGCAUGGUUCAAUAGUGAAAGACGGUUUUGCUGUCACUUAUAGAUGGAUCCGCGCCGCAUUAGCUAGUUGGUAAGGUAACGGCUUACCAAGGCAACGAUGCGUAGCCGACCUGAGAGGGUGAUCGGCCACACGGGAACUGAGACACGGUCCAGACUCCUACGGGAGGCAGCAGUAGGGAAUCUUCCGCAAUGGGCGAAAGCCUGUCGGAGCAACGCCGCGUGAGUGAUGAAGGUCUUCGGAUCGUAAAACUCUGUUAUUAGGGAAGAACAAAUGUGUAAGUAACUAGGCACGUCUUGACGGUACCUAAUCAGAAAGCCACGGCUAACUACGUG
rnacentral:rRNA from 1 species